AUAGGUACCCGAACACUAGCAUUGACUUGUCUAUAUAAUGCAGUAAGUGCUAAUUGUUGGGAAGUUUGA
rnacentral:pre_miRNA from 1 species